rnacentral:tRNA from 1 species
UGGGGCUUGGCCAAGUGGUUAAGGCACCGGACUUUGACUCCGGCAUUCAUAGGUUCAAAUCCUAUAGCCCCAGCCA